UAAAAAAAAUUAGGGUUGGUACCCGAACAAUAUGUGAAAAUAACACCGCUUUUAUACGAUAGUAAUUGGCUGUUGAGUAUGCUGAUUAUUGUUGUUUAUGUUACUAUGUUUGAUGUUCAUAAGUUCAUUGUUAAAUUUUGUGAUUGAAGCUUAAAUUUUGAUUAUUUUGUGUUUGGUUAGGAAAAUAAAAGAAUGAGUUUGCAACAACAAUUGAAUAUUGACAUGCUUUUUUUGAGGUUCAAAAUGUUAUCCGUUCAUGUUUAAUUGAGAAAAUAUACUUAAUUCGUGAUGCAGUUAGUGAUUUUAGUUACAAAAACAUAUACUCUUUUGGAAAACUUACUCCCACAUUGCACGGAAACUUGUCGAGUCUUAAGUUUUGACGUUUCUAUUUUCAGAAAUAAAUUUUAAACUCCGAAACUUGAUUAGGUAAAAAAUAUGGUUCCGUUGUUUUCCGUUUCAGCAUUUGGUGUUUGAGUAUUUCCAUUUCGAUGCACCAUAGCGUAUUCUUUGUCAUACAGUAGAUAUUGCAGGUUUACACUGUAAGAUUUAUAUGUUUGCCUUCUUGCUUAUAGCUUAUGAGUGAAAAUCUUCCAAAAUUAAUUUCUUAGAACUUGUGAUAUAAUUGAGGUGAGGGCAGAUGUGCCAACUUGUUGAAGGACUUACAGAAGUAUUUAUGGAAUGAAGGGACCUUUCUGAAAGAAACACCAUAAAUAGGGUCGAUCUGAUCGUUUGCAGAAGGUUGAGGAGCUAUUGCAGGAAAAUGCCAAGAAAAUUGUGGAGAGUUUACAAAUUUGGUAGCUUCAGUUUUCUUGGAUUGAACGUCGAUGGCUACGAUGUUUCCGUGCAAGUUCCGGCAACUCGAGAGCUGGCUGAUUACAAGAAUGAUGAUGAUAAGUAGCUGAACUGAGAUUCUUGAACUUGGAGUUAUAAUUUUCUUCAUGGUUUCUUGAUGUUGAAAAAGAAAAAUAUUGAGGUGAUAUGAGAGUUUGUAUAAAAUUUAGAGGUUUGUUGAAUUGAAAUGGAAGUGUUUUAUUUUUUGUUUUUUCAAUAAAUAAGAGAGCAGGCUGUGUUGUGUGCUAUUAUUAUAGAUGAAACAAAGCUGUUGUGAA